AGACAGGUGGUGCAUGGUUGUCGUCAGCUCGUGUCGUGAGAUGUUGGGUUAAGUCCCGCAACGAGCGCAACCCCUACGUUUAGUUGCUAACAGGUGAAGCUGAGCACUCUAGACGAACUGCCGUUGACAAAACGGAGGAAGGUGGGAUGACGUCAAAUCAUCAUGCCCCUUAUGUUCUGGGCUACACACGUGCUACAAUGGCCGGUACAGACGGAGGCGAAGCCGCGAGGCGGAGCAAAUCCGAAAAAGCCGGUCUCAGUUCGGAUUGCAGGCUGCAAUUCGCCUGCAUGAAGUCGGAAUCGCUAGUAAUCGCAGGUCAGCAUACUGCGGUGAAUACGUUCCCGGGCCUU
rnacentral:rRNA from 1 species